GAACUCACUUUGCCAGCCCAUGUACUACAAUUGGAAUGAUCCAGAGAUUAGCAUGGCCCCUGGGUGAAAAUGACAUCCUACACAUUUAAAAAAUACAUUUUUAA